CCUGAAGACAAAGGGCUCGUCAUGGAGUUUGGGCUGAGCUGGAUUUUCCCUGUUGCUCUUUUAAGAGGUGUCCAGUGUGAGGUGCAGCUGGUGGAGUCUGAGGUGCAGCUGGUGGAGUCUGGGGGAGGCCUGGUGAAGCCUGGGGGGCCUCUGAGACUCUCCUGUGCAGCCUCUGGAUUCACCUUCAGCAGCUAUGCUAUGAGCUGGGUCCGCCGGGCUCCAGGGAAGGGCCUGCAGUGGGUCACAGGUAUUAACAGUGAUGGUGGUGGCACACACUACGCUGACUCCGUGAAGGGCCGAUUCACCAUCUCCAGAGACAAUGCCAAGAACACGGUGUGUCUGCAAAUGAACAGCCUGAGAGACGAGGACACGGCCGUGUAUUACUGUGCAAAAGACACAAUCAGCCUGCAGGAGUCUGGUCCUGGGCUGCUGAAGCCCACCCAGACCCUUACGCUGACCUGCUCCUUCUCUGGGUUCUCACUGACUACUUCUGAUAUUGGUGUUGGUUGGAUGCGUCAACCCCCUGGGAAGGCACUGGAGUGGCUCACCUAUGUUUGGUGGACUGAUGAAAAGCAUUACAACCCAUCUCUGAAGAGCCGGCUCACAAUCUCCAAGGACACCUCCAAAAACCAGGUGAUGCUGACAAUGACCAGUUUGGACCCUCCAGACACAGCCACAUAUUACUGUAUUCUUCCUGAGGGAGGAUAA